UACGAAGGGGGCUAGCGUUGUUCGGAAUUACUGGGCGUAAAGCGCACGUAGGCGGAUCGUUAAGUGAGGGGUGAAAUCCCAGGGCUCAACCCUGGAACUGCCUUUCAUACUGGCGAUCUAGAGUCCGGAAGAGGUGAGUGGAACUUUUAGUGUAGAGGUGGAAUUCGUAGAUAUUAGGAAGAACACCAGUGGCGAAGGCGGCUCACUGGUCCGGUACUGACGCUGAGGUGCGAAAGCGUGGGGAGCAAACAGG
rnacentral:rRNA from 1 species